AGAUUUUGCCUUCGGGUACAAUUGAGACAGGUGGUGCAUGGUUGUCGUCAGCUCGUGUCGUGAGAUGUUGGGUUAAGUCCCGCAACGAGCGCAACCUUGUGUUUAGUUGCAAACAGGUCAAGCUGUGCACUCUAGACAGACUGCCGUGGACAACACGGAGGAAGGUGGGGAUGACGUCAAAUCAUCAUGCCCCUUAUGAUCUGGGCUACACACGUGCUACAAUGGCCGGUACAACGGGCAGCGAAGGAGCGAUCCGGAGCGAAUCCUAAAAAGCCGGUCCCAGUUCGGAUUGCAGGCUGAAACUCGCCUACAUGAAGCUGGAAUCGCUAGUAAUCGUGGAUCAGCCAAGCCGCGGUGAAUACGUUCCCGGGCCUU
rnacentral:rRNA from 1 species